UACGGUCACAUCACAUUGAAACACCUGUUCCCGUACGUUUACAGAUGUUAAGAAACGUCGAGCCUGGUCAAUUCCUUGAUGGGUGACCGCUUGGGAAUACCAGGUGCUGUAGG